rnacentral:rRNA from 1 species
GCCAGACUCCUACGGGAGGCAGCAGUGGGGAAUAUUGCACAAUGGGGGAAACCCUGAUGCAGCGACGCCGCGUGAGUGAAGAAGUAUUUCGGUAUGUAAAGCUCUAUCAGCAGGGAAGAAAAAAGACGGUACCUGACUAAGAAGCCCCGGCUAACUACGUGCCAGCAGCCGCGGUAAUACGUAGGGGGCAAGCGUUAUCCGGAUUUACUGGGUGUAAAGGGAGCGUAGACGGCAAUACAAGUCGGAAGUGAAAUACCCGGGCUCAACCUGGGAACUGCUUUGGAAACUGUAUGGCUGGAGUGCUGGAGAGGUAAGCGGAAUUCCUAGUGUAGCGGUGAAAUGCGUAGAUAUUAGGAGGAACACCAGUGGCGAAGGCGGCUCACUGGACAGAAACUGACGUUGAGGCUCGAAAGCGUGGGGAGCAAACAGGAUUAGAUACCCCAGUAC